AAAAGGAAACACCUGUGCUAGAGCCUUCCUAAGAAGUUGAGCUCCUGGGUGUUACAAGGACUUUUCUGACACCCCAGGCCCUUCUCCUACCUUUGCAUUGAUUAAUUGCUUUACUGAUGGAUGGGGUGAGUUGCAUUCUGGUGAAUCUGUUACAUAUUGCUGGUAAGACCACGAAAAAUAUGACUUACUGUGGAGUUAUCGUUCAGAAGUGGUGAUUUUGGACUCUCCCUAUUGCUAAUGGAAUUAAUUGAGAUUAAAUGGCAGGAGCUGCAGGCUCUUAUGGGAAGACCAAUUCUUCUCCAGCUGUUUCUGCAUCCGUGUCAUGACAGAUUAAUGGAGAUAAUCUGGGUCAUACCUGUGCCAAUCUCAUGACUUUGAUGGCAUCACCUCACUGUACAAGGAGAUUACAGGAAAAGGAUCAGGCCCAGAGGACUCAGAGAUUAUAAAACAUGCCUUGUGUUAAUCCUAAAACCAUGCUGCUAGUUGAAUUGCUAUGGAAAAGGGAAACUUUUACAGUUCAGUAUGUGGAGAGCCUCUGAUGUCAUAACACACCCUGACUGAUAGAAAUACCCCCAGCCCCAAGGAGGGGAGGAAGGGGCAAAUCCCAGAGCAGCAAAGAAGGCUUUGGGGCUGCAAACCAACACUAAAGUGGUUGAGUCCUGGAAAGGGAUCAUCCAACAACAUCUGGAUGGUGGAAGGAAUCAGAGCAAGUGAAAAUACAGCAAGAAGAUAGCAAGGGAGGGUAAUUGUUGGUCUUUGGGCUUUAGAGAGAGACUUAUUUUGGUUCUUCUCCUUCCAAUUGCUCUGAGCUACUCAUUAAAAUCAGAACAAUACUGAACUCUGAUUCCUUCUUCCUAACACCUGUAUGUGGAUUAAUUACCAAUGUUUCUUAUGGAAAGUGCUGCUGCUUGUCCCUCUUGGUCUGUUUUCCCAAAUUUCCUCACUCAGGUAAAUAUAGUAUUUGCUUUUCAGUUCCUGGCUCACAUGAGGGAUGUGCACCCAGUUAGCAAAGCCAAUGGCACAGCCAAACCCAGCCACAGCUGAGGAGGAGAGAAGCCUUUGGAGCAGCCCAGGUGCGACUUUUUACAUCAAAAUCAGGAUCUGUAUUAAGCCCACCUCCAGCUAAGGCACUGUGAGUUCCUGCUUCUAUGCUACCCCUCCAACAGCAAAACCAGAAGCGUCAGUGUUCCCCAAAAGGAAAAGUAGAUCCUGGCAGAGGAACAAAAUCUGGGCCAUAUCAUGGUAGCAUCUUCUACUUCCUGAUCAGAUAAGGCUGCUAUAGAUGUAUUUCUUAGCUGGGUUCUUUGGUAACUCCAUGCUGUUGCCCUGUGCAGGGUGACUGUGUUUUGGGUGCAAUCAGGUGCUGGUAGCAGCAACAUCCCAGCUUCCCUUGCACUGGAAGCCCAGCUGGUGUAGCUAAUGGAUGCAGUGUUAGGGGCAGUGCUGGAACUUCAACUUCAAGUCACCAGAGCUAUUGCAAGCAUGCAGUCAGACUCUCAGCAGAGGUUGACCUCAUGGAGCCUGGUGGCAGCCAGAACAAAGAGGUGCACUGGGGCUACUAAUUGCAAAACAACAAGAGUUCAUUAAGUAAUAAGAAGCUUUUAAAAUACAGUAAGGAGUCUAAGAGAAGAGGGUUUCUUUCUAAUGCAUGAUGGGGUUUGUAUUUUGCCUUCAGCACUGCUAAACCAUUGAAACAGCUAUAUUGCAAUUUUACAGCUUGCUGGGCUAAUAAUACACUAAGUUUUAUUAUCUGCAGCCUGUAUGCUGCUAAUUACAAGACUGUAAUUAGUCAAUAAAAAUAUGCCAAGUCUGCUUAUUCUCUUCUUUUUCCCUCUUCUUCACCUUCCCCUCACUGUGAAGCCCACGGCAUGCAGCCUGGCAUCUGUUUCACAUUGUUUUCAAUGCACAGAAACACACAUGCAUGUAAGCAGCUGGAAUGGGGACAGAAGGCUUCAGGUGGGCUGCAAAGAUGUGUCGGUGGUUUUGCUUUGAUACCUGCACUGCUUUGGUGCCACGAGUAGCAUUCAGACGUUACGGUGC
ensembl:lncRNA